AAAUUUAAUGCAGAAACUAAAUAAUUGAAAAAAGGAAACCUAAUUGAUAAUCCCAAUCAAAUCGAAUAGCUUGGCCAACAUUAAUCCAAACGUCUUUUCAUGUCAAUAGUUACGCCUGUUUCGAGAUAGCUUUUCUCAAAGAUUUUCCAUGUAUAUGCUAUAUUGACUUCUCAUUUCUCUAUCCCGAAGUAAUUUCAGUCCGGAUUUUCUCUCCAUCUUCUUUCCGGAUCUGUUACACUGCGGAUCAUCGCUUCCCCCACCAGGGAUGAGAUAUUUUCAUGGAGAAUCUUCUUUAAGGCUUUUAACACACCCAUCUGGUCCUGAACCACUAAAUUCGAGGCCAAUCUAAAAUUUCUUUUGUCGAAGGCUGCAUCAAACUGUACCAUUAAACUCGUUAUCGCCCCUGUUUGGUUAUGGGUUCUAUCAGUAAAAGAGGUAAGUUUCUUUUCUCGAAUCCCUUCCAGUUCUGCUAUAUAUCUUCUAAUUUUCUUUACCAAAUCCCUAUCUGAAAUGGUUGUUCUUUCAUGGACAUACUGGUUUCAUGAGCUCCAUAUGAACCAUAAGCCAUAGCAAAAAAUCCAGCACUGUUCCUUAGUACUUUUUUCAAAAACCCAGGACAUUGUCUAAAGACAUGGUGAUUAUCCUUUUCUCUAGAGCUACAGCGUGGACUACUGACGUUAAUGGCCACUCUCUUGUAUCUAAGAUUGACUAGUUUAAGGAUGUAGUUCCUGGAGAUCCGCCAUAUUGUUAAUGUAAUUUUUUAUGGUAGUUGAAAAUCCCAUAGUCUCCUAUAGAAACAUUUAGUUUCGGUCUAUAAUAAGUAACUAUUAAGAUCCAUGCUAGCAAAUUGUAAUAGUUUGUAGGCGCUUCGUACUGAGAAAUCUCCAAAAAGUUCUUCUUUCCACACUUGAAAAUCUUCAUGGUCUACUUCUGCCAAAGGGAUCUGCAAGAUCUUUUGGGCAGUUUCCGAUUGAAAGCAAUCAUUAGUACCUCUUCCAACUCUUCAGCCAAGUCUAUCUGGAAGGAGCCUCUUUGCUGCCCAAAUGCUCUUCUAGUUAAAUAAAGAUGUAGAUCACCAACUUUGUUAUCUUUCUUCGGAAUGUAGGAGCCAAUCACGCAAGGUGCACCAACUUACAAAAAAAAAACAGAAAAACUAAAGGGAACAACAGUAACCCUAAAACUCUUGCUAGAGAUAGCAAACAAUAGCUUGCUAGGGUAGCACACUAGAAAAUGCUUGAAUUUUAAAAAAGUAAUUUUAUAAAAGUUAUAACAAAUAUUUAUUUUAGAUGGUGAAGGACAAGCUACAUCAACACAAUAGAGGCUCUAACCUUAGAAUCAAGUUAAUAUUAUGGCAUGUUGACAAUUCUUCUAUCGCAACUCAAACAUGACAUAUUUGGAGUGAUUAUAGACACUUGAUACAAUAAGGAAAUUAGCUUUACAUGGUCCAAAGCGAUGGGCAAAAAUCAACAAAAUAACCAAGCAUCCACCAAACUAAAGAGGACGGUGAAAAAAUCAUCUUUAAAAUUACUUGAAAAUACAAGACUACAUGCAUAAGCAAGACUAAAAAAAAUUCUAUAAGAGUAGACAAAAAAUUUUAAAAGUGAAGACCUAUUAAACAAUAGCAAAAAAACAAAUAUAUAUAAUUUAAUAUAACACAGGUCCAAACCAACUCGUGAAAUCAUUUAUUAUUUUUAAACACUCAACACAAAAACAAAUUAAGAAGUGGACGAAGAGCCAACCAUAUUCCCAGAGAAAUUAUCGGUAUCAAGUGGAGUUUCAUUGACCACAAGCAUCGUCAUUUGUCCAUCAUAACUUGUGAAGACAACAAAGAUACCCAUAAAAUAUAUCUACAAACUAAAAAGAGAACAAUUGUGGGUAUCUUUAUUGUCUUUACAAGUUGUGGUGUUUGUCGUCAUUGAAACUUCAUCAACCACCAAUAGUUUCUUUUGGAAAAUUGGUGGAUCUUCGUUGAUUUCUUAACAUGUUUCUAUUUUGAGAGUAUUUUAGAAUGAUAAAUUAUUUCACAAGUCGAUUAAACCCGUGUUGUCUUAAGUUAUAUAUAUAUUUUGUUUGUAUUCAUUUGUUUAAUAAGUUUUCACUUUUAGAAGUUUUUGUCUAUUCUUGUAGCAUUUUUUUUAGUUUAGCUUAUGCAUGUAGCUUUUCUUUUGCAAGUGAUUUUAGGGAUGAUUUUGUUGUCGUUCUCUCCAAUUUGGUGGAUGCUCGAUUUUUUUGCUGAUUUUUACCCGUCGCUUUGGAUUAUCCGAGGUUGAUUUUCUUAUUGUAUUAAGUGUUUGCAAUCACUCCAAAUAUAUCGUGCUUGAGUUGUGAUAGAGUUAAUUAUCAACGUGCCAUAAUACUCAUUUUAUGUUGAGCUUGAAACAUUUGUUGUGUUGAUGGAACUUGUCUUUCACCGCAUCUAACAGAUUUUUGUUAUUUUUUCCCCAAAUUGUAUAGUCUCAUUUAUAGAAUAAAUUAAUGAAUUUCAAAUAAUUAAAUAAUUAAAUAA